rnacentral:sRNA from 2 species
UAUACAGUUUUCUAGGGUUCCACAGAAUUUGCUAAUUUCUGGUUCGGUCCAAGAGAAAACGCACACUAUAUUGUGUGUACACGGAAGGAUAAAAGCCUGGGAGUU